UCUUCUUCGUGAUUUCUAAGAACCGCCGGUGUUGUCUAAUUCUCGCCGGAGAGUAUAUAAAUUCUCAUUGAUUUGUAAAUUUUCAUGGUAACCGCCGGGGUUGACUAAUUCUCGCCGGAGAGUUCCGCCGGAGAAGACGCCACCUGCCGCUGAACUUGAAGAAUUUUUUGCAGCCACAUAACCGUUUCAAAUACAAGAACCACACUAGCAUGGACCAAGCAUGGAAGGCUAACGGGUCAAGAUGAGGCAAGCAAGCGGGUAUGAACACGGAUGCACAAGGAAUGAGUACAUCGGAUUCUUAUGAAAUUUAAGCCCAACCCGGAAUAAGAGGAUGAGUGAUACACGGACUUCUUCUACUACUUAGGAGGUGAAGCGGACGUAAAUCGAGUCAAGAGCAAGGAUUGCACGGAUAGAUCGACCAUAUAGUUGAAAUAUAUAACGUCUAGAAAUGUAAAUUUUUAAAGCUCUUUUCCGCUGCGUCAUUUUUAAGGUAAAACGUGUUAGGGCGUAACAUAACAUGCGAACAUUGUUUACAACAUGCGAUGUUGGUAUUUUUUUUUACAACAUGCGAUUUUUGCAUUAAAAAUAACAUGCGAACAUUGUUUUUU
rnacentral:lncRNA from 1 species